rnacentral:lncRNA from 1 species
CAUGGUUUUCUCAGAAAGUUUUUUCUUCUUCUGAAGUUCAUCACUAAAUAACUUAAAGAGGGGCGAAAGAUACCAGAGGGACAGUCAAACUCAUAGAUCGAAAAUAAACUGACAACGCCAUGGCUAAAAAUGAAAAAGACAAACAGACAAAUAAUAGUACACAUGACAACAUAGAACACUAAAGACUAAGCAACACGAACCCCACCAAAAGCUGGGGUGAUUUCAGGUGUUCUGGAAGGGUAAACAGAUCCUGC